rnacentral:rRNA from 1 species
UGGGGAAUCUUGGACAAUGGGGGCAACCCUGAUCCAGCCAUGCCGCGUGAGUGAUGAAGGCCUUAGGGUCGUAAAGCUCUUUCGCCUGUGAAGAUAAUGACGGUAGCAGGUAAAGAAACCCCGGCUAACUCCGUGCCAGCAGCCGCGGUAAUACGGAGGGGGUUAGCGUUGUUCGGAAUUACUGGGCGUAAAGCGCACGUAGGCGGACCAGAAAGUUGGGGGUGAAAUCCCGGGGGGCUCAACCCCGGAACUGCCUCCAAAACUAUUGGUCUAGAGUUCGAGAGAGGUGAGUGGAAUUCCAAGUGUAGAGGUGAAAUUCGUAGAUAUUUGGAGGAACACCAGUGGCGAAGGCGGCUCACUGGCUCGAUACUGACGCUGAGGUGCGAAAGUGUGGGGAGCAAACAGGAUUAGAUACCCUGGUAGUCCACACCGUAAAACGAUGAAUGCCAGUCGUCGGGUAGCAUGCUAUUCGGUGACACACCUAACGGAUUAAGCA